GGCCAGAUAGCUCAGUUGGGUAGAGUGUCGUCCCGAUAUGCCAAGGUUGUGGGUUUGAUCCCUGCUUAGGUCA
rfam:Myotis lucifugus cont2.30224, whole genome shotgun sequence.